rnacentral:rRNA from 1 species
GACGAACGCUGGCGGCGUGCCUAACACAUGCAAGUCGAACGAGGUCCAAGGGAGCUUGCUCCCUGAAGACCUAGUGGCGAACGGGUGAGUAACACGUGAGAAACCUGCCCUCGAGUGGGGAAUAACCCGGGGAAACCCGGGCUAAUACCGCAUACGCUCCUCUGGUCGCAUGGCCGGAGGAGGAAAGUUUUUCGCUCAAGGAGGGUCUCGCGGCCUAUCAGCUUGUUGGCGGGGUAACGGCCCACCAAGGCUACGACGGGUAGCUGGUUUGAGAGAACGAUCAGCCACACUGGGACUGAGACACGGCCCAGACUCCUACGGGAGGCAGCAGUGGGGAAUCUUGCGCAAUGGGCGAAAGCCUGACGCAGCAACGCCGCGUGCGGGAUGACGGCCUUCGUGGUUGUAAACCGCUUUCAGCAGGGACGAAAAUGACGGUACCUGCAGAAGAAGCUCCGGCUAACUACGUGCCAGCAGCCGCAGUAA